rnacentral:rRNA from 1 species
GAACGCUGGCGGUAGGCCUAACACAUGCAAGUCGAACGGCAGCACAGGAGAGCUUGCUCUCUGGGUGGCGAGUGGCGGACGGGUGAGGAAUACAUCGGAAUCUACUUUUUCGUGGGGGAUAACGUAGGGAAACUUACGCUAAUACCGCAUACGACCUACGGGUGAAAGCAGGGGAUCUUCGGACCUUGCGCGAUUGAAUGAGCCGAUGUCGGAUUAGCUAGUUGGCGGGGUAAAGGCCCACCAAGGCGACGAUCCGUAGCUGGUCUGAGAGGAUGAUCAGCCACACUGGAACUGAGACACGGUCCAGACUCCUACGGGAGGCAGCAGUGGGGAAUAUUGGACAAUGGGCGCAAGCCUGAUCCAGCCAUACCGCGUGGGUGAAGAAGGCCUUCGGGUUGUAAAGCCCUUUUGUUGGGAAAGAAAUCCAGCUGGCUAAUCCCGGUUGGGAUGACGGUACCCAAAGAAUAAGCACCGGCUAC